rnacentral:piRNA from 1 species
UGAUGUCACUGGAAAUACCCGCCA